UUUCUUUAGGGUCACUGAUCACGGAUGAAGAGAAGUGAAAGCGAUUAUCAGGUUUUUGACGUUUAAAAUACAGUCACGUCAGUGUUCAAAAUAACAUUUAUAGUUGGUAUGUUGUUACGUUUGCCGCAUUUUCAUAAUAUCUGUUCCCAAAAUGCAAUAAAAAUACAUGGAACUUUCAAAACCAGGUUAUGCAUGGUGGACGCAGUAAAAGGUUCCCGAAAAAAUGCAUGUAAUGCAAAAUGUGCCUGUAUAUUUUUUUAUUUCAAGUGAAGCCAGAAAUAUGUUUUACAAUAAGAAAGUUUGCUGGACAUAGGAACUAAAGUGCAUUCAUUCAUUCUAUCGCAUUAAGAAGUGAAGACAUUGUGAAUCAAAAACGCACGUUAAGAAUGUAGACAUAACACGUAGCCUAAAAACCCGUAGAAACAAAUAUGGCGGUGCUUUCCUUUUAUCAGUUUGGCGAAAACUGGCAAUCUUCGAAAGGAAUACGAGGAUGUUCAAGUGUUUUCAAGAAAGCUAUGCUAGAAGAACCAAGUUCUGCUCAAAAGCAUUUAAUACUAUCUGUAUAUACAUUGAAUGGCAGGGGUAAUUAAAUUACGACUAUAUAGGUUUUUCAUGGAACGUGACCGAUCUUAUAUCGGCAGGUACAAAACGCAGGUUGCAGGUUGGAAUUUUGCAGGUUGCGAAUUUUGCAGGUUGGAAUUUUGCAGGUUGGGGAUUUUGCAGGUUGGAAUUUUGCAGGUUGCCAGGAACUUUGCAGGUUGAUAAUGCAAACUUAAAAUUACACCACUUUUUUAGUAUUCUAGUAUAAUUUAGUUGUGCAUUUAUUGCAGUCUGACUCCUUGUCGGCGCCUCUGCUCUAAGGCUAGUGGCUAUCACCCCCGUGAAAAUAUUCAAAAUGACCAGAUUGGCUUGGACCUACAGGGAGACGAAUGCAGGGACGUAGGAACCGGGGGGGGCAGGGGGGCCAGGUCCCCC